rnacentral:sRNA from 1 species
AGAAGCUUCUUGAGAGCUUCAAUAGCCUCGUCGUAUGCUUCGGUUCCCAUCUCUUCACUCUGCAAGUUGGUUGACCA